rnacentral:rRNA from 1 species
GCGUUCUCCCACUAGUAGAGUGACAUUAUGCAUGACUCUUGGCAACGGAUAUCUAGGCUCUCGCGUCGAUGAAGAACGUAGCGAAAUGCGAUACUUGGUGUGAAUUGCAGAAUCCCGUGAACCAUCGAGUCUUUGAACGCAAGUUGCGCCCAAGACCGUCAGGUC